GGCGGCCACAGCGGGAAGCCAGGCGGCGACGCCGAGCGGAACCCGAAAAGCCGUCUCAGUUCGGAUUGGAGUCUGCAACCCGACUCCAUGAAGCUGGAUUCGCUAGUAAUCGCGCAUCAGCCACGGCGCGGUGAAUACGUUCCCGGGCCUUGUACACACCGCCCGUCAAGCCAUGGGAGCCGGGAGUGCCUGAAGUACGUGACCGCAAGGAGCGUCCUAGGGUAAGACCGGUGACUGGGGCUAAGUCGUAACAAGGUAUC
rnacentral:rRNA from 1 species